ACGAACGCUGGCGGCGUGCCUAAUACCUGCAAGUCGAACGAGAGCGACCGGUGCUUGCACUGGUCAAUCUAGUGGCGAACGGGUGAGUAACACGUGGGUAACCUGCCCAUCAGAGGGGGAUAACAUCCGGAAACGGAUGCUAAAACCGCAUAGGUCUUCGAACCGCAUGGUUUGAAGAGGAAAAGAGGCGCAAGCUUCUGCUGAUGGAUGGACCCGCGGUGCAUUAGCUAGUUGGUGAGGUAACGGCUCACCAAGGCCGUGAUGCAUAGCCGACCUGAGAGGGUGAUCGGCCACAUUGGGACUGAGACACGGCCCAAACUCCUACGGGAGGCAGCAGUAGGGAAUCUUCCGCAAUGGACGCAAGUCUGACGGAGCAACGCCGCGUGAGUGAAGAAGGUUUUCGGAUCGUAAAACCCUGUUGUUAGAGAAGAACAAGUGCUAGAGUAACUGUUAGCGCCUUGACGGUAUCUAACCAGAAAGCCACGGCUAACUACGUG
rnacentral:rRNA from 1 species